CAGUCAUCGUCUCUCUCCCCCUACUCGUCAUGCCCUUCCUUGUUGCUUUCCUAGUCAUAUCUCCUGCUAUGUGUUCCCUUACCUCGCGUUGUUUCGAUUUUGUCGUCCUGCCUCGUGCUACUGUCGCUGUCCUGCCUUGCGACGUUGCCUUGUUUGUGCGUGUUGUCGUAUAGGUGUUAUAUCGCACGAUGCUCCGUGCUGCGACCUGUGGGUGUUGCCGUGUUGGAAGUUGCUAGUGUCGCCAUCGUUGCUGCUCUCUUCUCCGCCAUGGUGCCACCGAUUUAGCCCGCUCUUCUUCCCUCUGCAUACAAGCACGCUGAAACAUUUCAGCAAGGGGAAGAACAAUUCCAAAGUUCCAAAAACCCUUGGCUUUGAUUAAAUCCAUAUAACUUUUGAUUCGGAGCUCCGAUCACUGCACCGUUUGUGGCCACACGACUGCGGCAUCGAACUCUACAAAGUCCGGCACAUUAUAAGGAUCAAAUUAACUUGGUGGACUUGUUGGGUCUUGUCCCAAUUUCCCGUUGGUAAGGUGCAUGUAAAUAUGUGAUAUGAGGCAAUUGGAGAUGUUGGAAGCUUAAUUGGAAGCUCGGUGAGAGUUCUAGUUGCUGAAUUUUUGGCAGUUGAGGCUUACAACUUUUCCGUGUGGGGUACCUUGGAUAAAUACGUGAAAAUCGGCCAAGAUGUAGGUCGAGCGGCACCUCAGUAGGCGUCUGAAGUUUCUGCGGCGAAGUGGUUUACUUUGGGAUCCCCUUUUGUUACUUUGAUGUAUAUAUAUGUAUAGUUUUUCCUCUUGUAUAUAAGAAUACUUUGUUUAUGUACCUCUUAGAGGUUUUAUGGAGAACUAGGGUUUUGAACA